GUGACGUAAUACACAAACUUUAAACACAGUGUUAAACCCGGAAACGAGACGCGUUGAACUACCACUGCUGAAAGGUAUGGACAAGGAGCUAUAAGAUAACAGUGGCUGGCUGUACCUGCUUACAGUACAUGAAAAGAUUAAUUAAGACCUGUACUCAAACCAGAAAUAAUAAAAAUGACAACAAAGGGGUUCUAUAAAUAUCCGGAUGGUGAGGAGUACAGUGGAGAAUGGCUUGAUGGUAAGAGACAUGGUAUUGGUAUGUUAUCAUUGGUUGAUAGUUCCCAGUAUGUUGGUGGAUUUGAGGAUGGUUUAUGUAGUGGGCAUGGUGUCAUGACAUUUCCUGAUGGGUCAAGGUAU